rnacentral:rRNA from 1 species
AUGCAACAUGCCUUCUCUUAUCACCGAAGACACAUCUCAUAUGGCACUGGUUUCGUUGUUUCAUACCGUGACAAUAGGUGUGUGAUAAUGACAAAUGAGCACGUCAUAGCUGGGUCUUAUAGCAUCACGGUUCUGCUGAGUGAACAUCGAUUCACCGAUGCUUAUGUGAAACGAGCGGGCCCUGCAGACCUUGCUCUGGUAGAACUGAAAGACGUUGUUGCAGAGUUUCGACCUAUGAUAUUCCAGGAGUUGCCAAUUCCUGCUCUCCGAUCUGUGGUAUACUUGCAUGGAUUUUUCCCUGCAUUUGGAGGGACAGCUAUCCUCCCUUCAAGCUGCCCUGGCCAUAUCACUGGCAUGUGGUAUAGAGAUAAUGAACAUCUUCUUCUAGGGGAUUUCAUAAGUGAGCCUGGAUGUUCUGGUGGUCCCAUUACCAUGGGGGAUAGAGUGAUUGCAGUGUUAGCAGGAGGUAGGCACGGAUGUAGGACAAUGCUUUCUACUCUGACUGUGUACAUGACACUAAUGGAAUGGUGUGAUUUUCAUAGCCCAAACCAUACUAUUGCUGGGAUGCUUCGAAGGCUUUGUUGA